rnacentral:rRNA from 1 species
UACGUAGGGUGCAAGCGUUAAUCGGAAUUACUGGGCGUAAAGCGUGCGCAGGCGGUGAUGUAAGACCGAUGUGAAAUCCCCGGGCUUAACCUGGGAACUGCAUUGGUGACUGCAUUGCUGGAGUAUGGCAGAGGGGGGGUGGAAUUCCACGUGUAGCAGUGAAAUGCGUAGAGAUGUGGAGGAAUACCGAUGGCGAAGGCAGCCUCCUGGGCCAACACUGACGCUCAUGCACGAAAGCGUGGGGAGCAAACAG